CAGUAGCCACGGUAAAACGAAGGGGGCUAGCGUUGCUCGGAAUCACUGGGCGUAAAGCGCACGUAGGCGGAUCGUUAAGUCAGAGGUGAAAGCCUGGAGCUCAACUCCAGAACUGCCUUUGAUACUGGCGAUCUCGAGUCCGGAAGAGGUAAGUGGAACUGCGAGUGUAGAGGUGAAAUUCGUAGAUAUUCGCAGGAACACCAGUGGCGAAGGCGGCUUACUGGUCCACAACUGACGCUGAGGUGCGAAAGCGUGGGGAGCAAACAGGAUUAGAUACCCCUGUAGUCCCUGUCUCUUAUAC
rnacentral:rRNA from 1 species